UACGGAGGGGGCUAGCGUUGUUCGGAAUUACUGGGCGUAAAGCGCGCGUAGGCGGCUUUGUAAGUUAGAGGUGAAAGCCCAGGGCUCAACCCUGGAAUUGCCUUUAAGACUGCAUCGCUUGAACAUCGGAGAGGUAAGUGGAAUUCCGAGUGUAGAGGUGAAAUUCGUAGAUAUUCGGAAGAACACCAGUGGCGAAGGCGACUUACUGGACACAUAUUGACGCUGAGGUGCGAAAGCGUGGGGAGCAAAUAGG
rnacentral:rRNA from 1 species